rnacentral:rRNA from 1 species
GAUGAACGCUAGCGGCAGGCUUAAUACAUGCAAGUCGUGGGGCAGCACAGGUAGCAAUACUGGGUGGCGACCGGCAAACGGGUGCGGAACACGUACGCAACCUUCCCAAAACUGGUGAAUAGCCCUCCGAAAGGAGGAUUAAUACACCGUAACAUAAUGAAAUGGCAUCAUUUUAUUAUUAUAGCUCAGGCGGUUUUGGAUGGGCGUGCGCCUGAUUAGGUAGUUGGCGGGGUAACGGCCCACCAAGCCUGCGAUCAGUAACUGGUGUGAGAGCACGACCAGUCACACGGGCACUGAGAUACGGGCCAGACUCCUACGGGAGGCAGCAGUAGGGAAUAUUGGACAAUGGGUGCGAGCCUGAUCCAGCCAUGCCGCGUGCAGGAAGACGGCCUUCUGGGUUGUAAACUGCUUUUGCCAGGGGAUAAAACGUCCAUGCGUGGAUAAUUGAAGGUACCUGGUGAAUAAGCCACGGCUAACUACGUGCCAGCAGCCGCGGUAAUACGUAGGUGGCAAGCGUUGUCCGGAAUUAUUGGGCGUAAAGAGCUCGUAGGCGGUUUGUCGCGUCUGCUGUGAAAUCCCGAGGCUCAACCUCGGGCCUGCAGUGGGUACGGGCAGACUAGAGUGCGGUAGGGGAGAUUGGAAUUCCUGGUGUAGCGGUGGAAUGCGCAGAUAUCAGGAGGAACACCGAUGGCGAAGGCAGGUCUCUGGGCUGUAACUGACGCUGAGGAGCGAAAGCAUGGGGAGCGAACAGGAUUAGAUACCCUGGUAGUCCACGCCGUAAACGUUGGGAACUAGAUGUGGGGACCAUUCCACGGUCUCCGUGUCGCAGCUAACGCAUUAAGUUCCCCGCCUGGGGAGUACGAUCGCAAGAUUAA